GAUGAACGCUGGCGGCGUGCCUAAUACAUGCAAGUCGAGCGAACAGAUGAGGAGCUUGCUCCUCUGACGUUAGCGGCGGACGGGUGAGUAACACGUGGAUAACCUCCUAUAAGACUGGGAUAACUUCGGGAAACCGGAGCUAAUACCGGAUAAUAUAUUGAACCGCAUGGUUCAAUAGUGAAAGACGGUUUUGCUGUCACUUAUAGAUGGAUCCGCGCCGCAUUAGCUAGUUGGUAAGGUAACGGCUUACCAAGGCAACGAUGCGUAGCCGACCUGAGAGGGUGAUCGGCCACACUGGAACUGAGACACGGUCCAGACUCCUACGGGAGGCAGCAGUAGGGAAUCUUCCGCAAAGGGCGAAAGCCUGACGGAGCAACGCCGCGUGAGUGAUGAAGGUCUUCGGAUCGUAAAACUCUGUUAUUAGGGAAGAACAAAUGUGUAAGUAACUAUGCACGUCUUGACGGUACCUAAUCAGAAAGCCACGGCUAACUACGUG
rnacentral:rRNA from 1 species